GCAGAUACAUUCGAGAGGUCUCCAAGGGAGGGAGCAUAAGUGUUUCGCAAAUAUCUCUUGUUUUAGAACAAACAUUGUCCUCUUAUUAUCACCGUAAUUUGGAAAACCAGAAAUAUUGGCGAGGGUUCACUUUUGAAUGGUCAACUGAGAUAAGUAAAAGAAUGUUGCAUCUAGGUCAAUAAAUCAUCUACGUAUCCUAAAAAGUCAAUUGUCCCGUGGCAGAUGAUUCAAGACUUUGACCUACUUUGGAUCAGGAACAUCAUAUAUGGUGAAGCGGACAUUUACGACCACAAAAAGUGAGGCCUUUUAUUGCAGACUUCGGCUUUAGUGCUGAAAGUAAUCUGUUCCCCCUGGUCUUUCUUAUGGUGAAAGCUGUCCCCGCGUACAUUAAUUGUCAAUAUUUGCAUAUUUAUUUUUUCGAUGUAUAAAAUGAUGUCCAACGGUACUCAUCUCGCAUUUGCCACAGGAUUUGCAAGCUGCCAGAAAAUGAGACGAGGAGUGUGUUUAUUACUGGUUCUGUCCCUGGUUGGGCAGUCGUUAUCACAAACCACAACAAAUACUUUUGGAAUAGGCGACACAAUAAGAAGAGUGAUAACUACCUACCCCUGGUUUGCGAUUGCGGCUGCAGCUCCAUUUAUUGCCGCUAAUAGUUUGGGUCCGAAUCCCUCCGGGUUAAUGCUCAGCAGACCCCCAUUCCCUCCUCCGCCGCCAUUCUUCCGAAGACCUUUUCCCAUGAUGCCCUUCAUGAGACCUCCUCCUCCUCCAAUCUUCGUCGUACGACAUGGUUAACUUAUAUGGAUGAGGAUGAUAGGGCAAGUCAAGGAUGUGUUUCAUUUUCUGGCGUCUUCCGGUGUAUAUUUCAUCACACUUGCGUCCCUGAAAUCAACAGUUUUGUUGGCGGAAUUACAUUGUGACAUUAUCAGUUGUUAUAUGUUAUUCUCAGACAAAACUUACACUAGCAAUGAAUCUAGUUAUUUUAAUUCAUUUCGGUUCCUUGUGUAACAAAUAAUUUUCUGUAUAUUAUUAAAUUAAUAAUAUUACGAAUAUAUCAUCAUAGCAGAUAAUUGUUCAAAGAUCUCUAUAUCAACCCAGAUUUGUUUGUCUGUAAAUUCGCAGUUAUUUUUGUUGUAUGCAAAUAAAUAUAUUUAACCAAAAA